CUUCACCACCUCAACUCCCUGCACCUGCACCUGCAUUUAACAUACGGAGAGUUACUCAAGGAACGGCAGUCCCUCCUCAACUCCCUCCACCCCCACACCAGCCCUCAACGUGCAGCGAACAGAGGAGCUUUGUGCUGUGAGGAAAAACAUGGUGACACGGUCUGCCACGGACACUGAGGUCACCAAACACGCAAUCAGGUGUUUCAACCGGCGGUGGAUUGGGCAACGAGGAGAUGUGUUCCGCCUCCAUCCACACAAAUGGAGUAAUAGGAGAAAUAAGCAUUAAACAAUCUUUUUAUUGAA